rnacentral:lncRNA from 1 species
GGGAGGGGCGCGCAGGCGCGGACCGCCUGGCGGUACUUUGAAGAAAGACUUCUCGACGCCGAGACACUGCUGGUGGUACUCGAUGUAGAUCACGUGGAUGGCAGGAGCAGUGGCAAAGGACUUUCAACUGACAGACAAGCAUGAGAUGGUGGUCAGCUACCUCCCACUCAGCCAUAUUGCAGCACAGAUGAUGGACAUCUGGGUACCCAUAAAGAUUGGGGCGCUCACAUACUUUGCUCAAGCAGAUGCUCUCAAGGGGUGACUGGCAACCAUGCCGUGAAGACACUCAAGCAAUUCUGUGGAGAAGGCCAUGGAAUGAGGAGCUGAGACUUCCUGCCAACAACCAGUCAUCUAGGACACACAAAAAACUGACAAUGGUGACCGCUUCCACAGAGAGGAACUGAGUGGCUGAGGCUCAUGAAUCAGAGGGAAAUUUUCGCCAAUUAACCUUUGUAUCUUUUGGUGCCUUGUGAAUUUUGUACCACAUGUAUGUAUGUCUGUUACCUAUUCAGAAUGAAUGGUUGAACAAAG